rnacentral:lncRNA from 1 species
GCAGUCGACAAGGAAGCUUCACGCAAGUCAUCGACCGGCCACAAGGAGGCCUUGCGUGAAGAAAAUUUAUCCUCGACCGCCUCAACAUGCAAGGACGUUGGACUUGCCGGUUCAAUACUCUUAUCUGGCCUGCACAUGGAUCAACAGCUUGACGUUUGAGCAAACCAAGAUUGUUCAUCGCCCUUUUUUGUUUUGUUUUAUGUUUGCAGCCAUC